GCCGAAGUGGUGGAAUUGGCAGACACGCUAGUGUUAGAGACUAGUGAGCGAAAGCUCGUGAGAGUUCGAAUCUCUCCUUCAGCACCA
rnacentral:tRNA from 1 species